UACGGGGGGGGCAAGCGUUGUUCGGAAUUACUGGGCGUAAAGGGCGCGUAGGCGGCCUGCUAAGUCGGAUGUGAAAUCCCUCGGCUCAACCGAGGAACUGCAUCCGAUACUGGCGGGCUUGAAUCCGGGAGAGGGAUGUGGAAUUCCAGGUGUAGCGGUGAAAUGCGUAGAUAUCUGGAAGAACACCGGUGGCGCAAGCGGCUUGCUGGGCUGUAACUGACGCUGAGGAACGAAAGCUAGGGUAGCGAAUGGG
rnacentral:rRNA from 1 species